rnacentral:rRNA from 1 species
CCGGUGCUGCGCGCAGCCUGAUCAGCAAUGCCGCGUGUGUGAAGAAGGCCUUCGGGUUGUAAAGCACUUUUGUCCGGAAAGAAAUCGCACUUACUAAUAUUAGGUGUGGAUGACGGUACCGGAAGAAUAAGGACCGGCUAACUACGUGCCAGCAGCCGCGGUAAUACGUAGGGUCCAAGCGUUAAUCGGAAUUACUGGGCGUAAAGCGUGCGCAGGCGGUUGUGCAAGACCGAUGUGAAAUCCCCGGGCUUAACCUGGGAAUUGCAUUGGUGACUGCACGGCUAGAGUGUGUCAGAGGGGGGUAGAAUUCCACGUGUAGCAGUGAAAUGCGUAGAGAUGUGGAGGAAUACCGAUGGCGAAGGCAGCCCCCUGGGAUAACACUGACGCUCAUGCACGAAAGCGUGGGGAGCAAACAGGAUUAGAUACCCUGGUAGUCCACGCCCUAAACGAUGUCAACUAGUUGUUGGGGAUUCAUUUCCUUAGUAACGUAGCUAACGCGUGAAGUUGACCGCCUGGGGAGUACGGUCGCAAGAUUAAAACUCAAAGGAAUUGACGGA